rnacentral:ribozyme from 1 species
AAAAAUAUAAAAAAAGAAACACACCCACACAAAGUUCAAAACACAUCCCACAAAACUCAUUUUUAUCUUUUCUUCUGUCUACAUUUCUUUACUUUUUCUUCUUCUGCCGUGCGUAUCCUUUUUCUUUCCUUCUAACCUUUA